rnacentral:lncRNA from 1 species
CCCGAGCCCAGCCUUUCUCGCCGCGGCCGGCUCUGAUCUGACUCGAGUCCCUCCCGUCCUCCUUCUUUGCUGCGACACAAGUUUCCUUCCCUGCCAGCCGGCCCCUCCCCCACUGAAACACACCAAAAAAAAAGAAAGAAAGAAAGAAAGAAAAAUCCGGGAACCGCAAAUACUAUCCCUGCCGCAGCAUGAUGAGCCCGCGUGGUUUUUGAAAUUCAUCACUUCUAAUUAUUUUUGACCUUGGGCCAGUUAUUUAACCCCUCUGCUUCUGUGUUUCCUCCUCAGAUGCAAACAACAUUCUUUCCAUGAUGCUCUUGUUUCCCACCAGACCCACCAGACACCUUCACUGUUUUGUUGAGGAUAAAGCACUGGGCAUGCGGUGAUGAAAAAACAGAUGAAGUCUCUGUCUU